GCUUUAGGGAAACUAAAGAGUUCAAUAUGUCUCCAGAAAGUUCUCUGUAAAUCAAGAGUAAAAAAAUCUUAUGUAAGGACAGUAAAACAAAAACACAUGUAAUACAAGAUGAAACAGCACAAUAAUCAAGCAAAUAUUAGGUCAAUAUAAAGUCAUUAGAUUUACUGAAUUUUCAAGCUUAGAGUUUAAGAAAAUAACAAUCAAAGAUUAAAUGAAUUUAUUAGCGCUUUAAAACAAUCAAAAAAUUGAACUCUAUCAGCUGUAUUAGCGAGGGAAUCUACUGCGUAUUAAAACAAAGAGAGGGAAAAUCAACUUGAAAAUAAAGGAUUGUUGUAAAAGAGCUUUGGGUUGUCUCAUCUUUAAAUGCUAUUUUACUGUUAAUUUUUUUAUUUAUAUUUUCAAUUUCUAUCACAUAAUUUAUUAUGACAAUUGUGAAUUAAAACAACUUAUUGGUGCACUUUGUACAUUACUACAAAUUAACAACAGAAACGGUGUCAAUGAUGUCAACAAUGUUGGAUUACAAGGAAAUAAGAUUCUGGUUCAUUUGUUUACUAUUAAGGACGACAAUAAGAUGACAAUUGGAAUAACCAUUAAAUCAUUUGGAUCAACUACUAUUCUCAUUGCAAUCAUUUUGACUGGAAAAGUGAAAGAUUACUGAUUUCAAUGGAGUUAAUCUCAACCCAACUUGUAAAUCAAUUUUCUUAAUUCUAUGGGAAUGUAAUUCCGCUGGCAGCCUUUCAACUGAUCCUCCAACAAAAUCCUGAAUUAAAUAGUUUAUCGCCUUGCUUA